UUCGGCUAGACUUUUUUUCCACCGGAGGCGAUGCUAUUUGGGUGCAUGAACCUCGCGAUAUUGUUUCAACAAACGAUGGAUGACGUUCUAUGUUCUGGUUAUUCUCAUAAGACAAUUUAGACGCACUGCAGAGGCGUAUGGAGGUCACUGACAGUGAUGCUCGUCUAUGUUUGCUCUGUCGUUCCAAAAAGUAGCUUGAUGAGUGUCCAAAGUAACAGUGGAAGUGGUGGAAGUUUAGAGGGGACGCCAUCUUGGUCCCAGCUCUCCACGUCCCCAACACCGGGGCUGCUUUCUCAGCAACACAGUGCAGCACUGGCGAAGGCCAAGGAAGAGUGUCAGUGGCACCCCCUCCCUCCCCUCCGCCUCCCACCCUGUCUCUGCAGCCAGACUGGCAUUCAUCAUGGCUGCCUUGGAACUCUCCUCUGUACCUGAGACCUCUCUUCCCA